rnacentral:rRNA from 1 species
AGAAUCAACGCUGGCGGCGUGCCUAACACAUGCAAGUCGCACGAGAAAGGGACUUCGGUCCUGAGUAAAGUGGCGCACGGGUGAGUAACACGUGAAUCAUCUACCUCCGAGUGGGGAAUAACCUAGAGAAAUCUGGGCUAAUACCGCAUAACACUUACGAGUCAAAGCAGCAAUGCGCUUGGAGAGGAGUUCGCGGCAGAUUAGUUAGUUGGCGGGGUAAUGGCCCACCAAGACGAUGAUCUGUAUCCGGCCUGAGAGGGCGCACGGACACACUGGAACUGAAACACGGUCCAGACUCCUACGGAGGCAGCAGUGGGGAAUUUUGCGCAAUGGGGGAAACCCUGACGCAGCAACGCCGCGUGGAGGAUGAAAUAUCUUGGUAUGUAAACUCCUUUCGAUGGGGAAGAUAAUGACGGUACCCAUAGAAGAAGCCCCGGCUAACUUCGUGCCAGCAGCCGC